GACGAACGCUGGCGGCGUGCCUAAUACAUGCAAGUCGAGCGCAGGAAGCUCACGGAACUCUUCGGAGGGAAGUGAAGGGAAUGAGCGGCGGACGGGUGAGUAACACGUAAGGAACCUGCCCCAAGGAUUGGGAUAACUCCGAGAAAUCGGAGCUAAUACCGAAUAGUUCUUCAGACCGCAUGGUCUGAUGAUGAAAGGCGCUUCGGCGUCACCUUGGGAUGGCCUUGCGGUGCAUUAGCUAGUUGGUGGGGUAAUGGCCCACCAAGGCGACGAUGCAUAGCCGACCUGAGAGGGUGAUCGGCCACACUGGGACUGAGACACGGCCCAGACUCCUACGGGAGGCAGCAGUAGGGAAUCUUCCACAAUGGACGAAAGUCUGAUGGAGCAACGCCGCGUGAGUGAUGAAGGUUUUCGGAUCGUAAAACUCUGUUGUAAGGGAAGAACAGGUAUGAGAGGUAAUGCUCAUGCUAUGACGGUACCUUGCGAGAAAGCCACGGCCAACUACGUGCCAGCCGCCGCUGUAACAC
rnacentral:rRNA from 1 species